rnacentral:piRNA from 1 species
UUAUAUUUACCCCUAAAUUUC